GUAGAGAGCUCAAUUGAAUCGGGCCAUGAAGCACGCACACACCGCCCGUCACCCUCCUCAAGUGAUAGUACCCAAAAAACCUAUUUAAUCUACCACACCCACAAGAGGAGACAAGUCGUAACAAGGUAAGCAUACUGGAAAGUGUGCUUGGAUAACAAGAUGU
rnacentral:ncRNA from 1 species